UACGGAGGGUGCAAGCGUUGUCCGGAAUUACUGGGCGUAAAGCGCAUGUAGGCGGAUCAGACAGUCAGAGGUGAAAGCCCAGGGCUCAACCCUGGAACUGCCUUUGAUACUGCUGGUCUAGAGAUCGAGAGAGGUGAGUGGAAUUCCGAGUGUAGAGGUGAAAUUCGUAGAUAUUCGGAGGAACACCAGUGGCGAAGGCGGCUCACUGGCUCGAUACUGACGCUGAGGUGCGAAAGCGUGGGGAGCAAACAGG
rnacentral:misc_RNA from 1 species